rnacentral:rRNA from 1 species
GAUGAACGCUAGCUACAGGCUUAACACAUGCAAGUCGAGGGACCGGCGCACGGGUGAGUAACACGUAUCCAACCUGCCCUUUACUCGGGGAUAGCCUUUCGAAAGAAAGAUUAAUACCCGAUAUAAAGGCUGGGGAUGCGUUCCAUUAGGUUGUGGGGGAGGUAACGGCCCACCAAGCCUUCGAUGGAUAGGGGUUCUGAGAGGAAGGUCCCCCGCAUUGGAACUGAGACACGGUCCAAACUCCUACGGGAGGCAGGAGGGAGGAAGAUUGGGCAAUGGGCGUUAGCCGGAACCAGCCAAGUAGCGUGAAGGAUGAAGGCUUAUGGGUCGUAAACUUCUUUUAUAUAAGAAUAUGUAUUAUAUGAAUAAGGAUCGGCUAACUCCGUGCCAGCAGCCGCGGUAAUAC